rnacentral:rRNA from 1 species
UACGAAGGGGGCUAGCGUUGUUCGGAAUUACUGGGCGUAAAGCGUGCGCAGGCGGCUUCUCAAGUCAGGGGUGAAAGCCCAGAGCUCAACUCUGGAAUUGCCUUUGAGACUGAGUGGCUUGAGUACGAGAGAGGUGAGUGGAAUUCCCAGUGUAGAGGUGAAAUUCGAUAGAUAUGGGAAGGAACACCGGUGGCGAAGGCGGCUCACUGGCUCGUAACUGACGCUCAUGCACGACAGCGUGGGGAUCAAACAGG